UCUAGGGUAGCUCAGCGGUAGAGCGUCUGACUGUUAAUCAGGGGGUCGCCGGUUCGAAUCCGGCCCUUAGAGCCA
rnacentral:tRNA from 1 species